UCAAAUUCGAUCUUUGAGAUGUAGCAAAAGGUUUAUUUUACGAUUUAUUUUGAAACGGAUACGGGUUUUGGUAUCGCGUAUAAAACAGUCGUUGAAGCUGAUAGUGGCAUCAUUCGUUUUUGUCAUUUUCGAGUGAAUUCACAAUCUCUACCUGUAAUCCAACAUGUUCAAGCUGUUGUUAACCAUCCUCGCCGCCCUCGUGGCGUUCGCCGCCGCCAAGCCCUGGGGAGUGUCGUACGGGGCUCCCCUGGCGUACGCCUACGGCUCACCUCUGGCGUACUCUGCACCCGUGGCGUACGGCGCCUAUAGCUACGGUUCGCCCGUUGUCUCUGCCUAUAGUGGCUACACUCCGUACGCCGCUGCUCCUGUCACCUACGCCGCUAGCCCUUAUUCUUAUUACCUAAAACGCUAAAUAGGACCCGACACUUUUCUUCAUUAUGGAUGACUAACUGAGUCAACGAUUUACAAUAAAGUUAUGUUUUAAAACAACGGCGUUUAAUUUUGUCACUAAAUAUUAAGACGUGGCAGACUCGCAUUAUUUUUAAUGGUUUUGAAUUAUGUUACGUUUAAAUUUUGCCGCUAUGGCUCAAGGUGAGGAUAUACAUGAAGUUUUGACCACACAGUUAGUUCGUUAAUCUGUGCUGUGAUUAUACAUUCUUUUGUUUUCAGCCGAACCAUUCUGUGAGGCCUUGGUUCUAGUUUUGUUUUCAAUGGAUCGAUUCUUUUCAAGUAAUAACUACUCGUUCCUCCUCUACAACCGUACCUAAACAUGUAUAUAAGUAAGCACAUCUUCAUGGCUUUUACUGUAUUUGAAAUACGGCUGUUGUACAGCUGCCUGUGCUACUCAUUGUCAGAGGCGUCAUUUGGAAAUACAAAUAUGGCGAGAAUUCUAAUUCUUUUAGCAGUACUAGCGGCGGCAGUAGCCAAUCCACUCGUCUUCACUUCGCCAUACCUGGCCUCUCCAUUUGUAACACCAUACGCG